rnacentral:tRNA from 1 species
AAGGCAGUAGUUCAGAGGUAGAGCUCCCGCUUUGUACGCGGGAAGGCCUGGGUUCGAUCCACAGCCACUUUC